rnacentral:lncRNA from 1 species
ACCACUACCCACCCACCACCAUCGGGGUUGGGAUCUGUCAGGCGCUUCUGCUUGGUAUCUGCGAUUCUCUGCCUCUUUCUGUCGUCAGUGCCCAUCGCUGCUGGGGGAAGCUCCGUAAUUAGGACCCUGGUGUCCAGGAACCGGAAAUGGGUUCCGUGUCAUUUGAGGACAUUGCUGUGGACUUCUCCUGGGACGAAUGGCAGCAUCUGGAUGUGGCUCAGAGGACUCUCUACAGGGACGUGAUGCUGGAGAACUACAGCAGUCUCCUGUUCUUGGGACAUUGCAUGACCAAACCUGAGGUGAUCUUCCAGUUGGAGCAUGGAUUUGGGCCAUGGCCUGUGGGAGACUCCUCUGUCCGCAGCUUUGCAGGUAUUCAUAAAGUGACUACCUCCUUUGACACCCACCAGGAAAAUCACAAGGGAUAUUUAUGGCAAGUUGAAAUCACCAACAGCCAGACUUCAAAUGAGAAAAUUACUGAAGCAGACCUGAAAGUGGCACAGAAGAUCCAACAAGGGACAGCAUCCUAUGAAGAUAAAGAUGUUGUGAAGGCAUUUAUCCAGCAGUCACAGCACACAAGGAGUGAGAUGAGUUACUCAUGUAAGAAAAGCAUCCAAUGUAAGUCGCCUCUCAGUAACUGUCAGAGGCUUCUUAGUGAGGAGACGCGGCACACACACAGACAGCGCAGGAAGUCACACCUGACUGAACAGAGAAGUCACGAAGGGGAGAAGCCAUGUGAAAGCUCAGGACGUGGGAAAGCUUCCCACACCAAGCCUCAGCGUCAGGCCACUCAUAGCGAUGAGAAGCCCUACAAAUGUCUAGAAUGUGGGAAAUAUUUCUACUACAAGUCACAAGUCAUUGAGCAUCAAAGAAGUCAUACAGGCGAGAAGCCUUAUGAGUGUACAGAAUGUGGGAAAUCUUUCAGCUAUAAAUCCCAUCUCACUAUACAUCACAGAAGUCACACAGGUGAGAAGCGUCAUGAAUGUACAGAAUGUAGAAAAGUAUUUUACUAUAAGUCCCAACUUACUCGACACCAGAGGAGUCAUACAGGGGAGAAGCCCUAUGAAUGUAUGAAAUGUGGAAAAUCUUUCUACUGUAACACACAUCUUUCUUUGCACCAGCGAAUUCAUGUAAAUGUGAAACCCUAUGCAUGUACAGAAUGCGGGAAAACGUUCUCUUUCAGCGCAUGCCUCACUAGACACCAGAGGAUUCAUACAAAUGAAAAGCCCUAUAAAUGUUCACAUUGCCCCAAAGCUUUUUACUUUAAGAAACAACUUACUCAUCAUGAGAAAACUCAUGCUACAGAGAAGCGCUUUGAAUGUAAACAGUGUGGUAAAGCAUUUUACUGGAGGGCCAACCUUACUGUGCAUCAGAAAACACAUGGUGGGGAGAAGCCCUUUGAAUGUAAACAAUGUGGAAAAGCAUUUUACUGCAAGUCCCACCUCACUGUGCAUCAGAGAACUCAUAUAAGUGAAAAGCUCUAUCAAUGUUCACAGUGCAGGAAAGCAUUCUACUCUCAGACACAGCUUACUGUUCAUCAGAGAAUUCACACUGAUGAGAAGCCCUAUGGAUGUAAGCAAUGUGACAAAACAUUCUACAGCAAGUCUGGGCUUACUGCACAUCAGAAAACUCACACGGGCGAGAAGCCCUAUGAAUGUAAAGAGUGUGGGAAAGCAUUCUAUAACAAGUACUUGCUCAUUGAACAUCACAGAGUGCACACAGGUGAAAAGCCCUAUCAAUGUACAGAAUGCAAGAAAGCCUUCUACUGCAAAAAAUAUCUUUCUCUACAUCAGAAAACUCAUGCAAGUGAGAAGUCAUUUCAUUGUGCAGAGUGUGGGAAAGCUUUCUCCUGGAUGUCACACCUCACUCAGCAUCAGAGAAUUCACACAGGUGAGAAGCCCUAUGCAUGUGAGCACUGUAGGAAGACCUUCUACUUCAAGAAACAACUCACUCGGCAUCAAAGAACACAUGAGAAGUCAUGAGGUGUAAAUAAUGCAGGAGGCCAUUUCACUGCAAAUGCAACCCCCCUGUAUGAAAGAACUCAAACAAGGGAGAAUCCCUGUGGUGAGUGUACCAGAUACAGAAAAUUUUCUCCCUCACGCAUACCUUACUCCAAGUCAGAUGAGAAAGCCUAAGAGUGUAAAGAUGUAUGAACUCUUGCUCAAGCGUGUAAUCAGAAAGCUUGUAGGUGAGAAUGAUUAAUGUAAAAACUGGAAAUUUUCUAGUGUGAGGCAGGUGUUCAUCAGUCAAUGAGCAUAUACUGGAGCCUGUCUGCAAACAUUGUUGGAAGGCCACAUAUACUGUCUUGUAAGAGAAUUCAUACAUGGGCUGUCUCCUGUGAAGUUAGAAACUAUACAAAGGCUUUCUCAUUCUUCAGAUUCCUUCAGUAUAUUGUAGGUGAGUAUUGUAGAGUGUAAAGAAGAGAGGAACGCUUUCCAGCAUUAAGCCCCAUCAAUUCCUACCUGAAAGCUUUUACAGGUGUGGGCCCCAUGAAAUUAGUGAAAAUAGACACAUUUUGAGGCAGAAAUUGCGCCUGUGCAUUAGCAACUUCUUGUGUGAUUAAAAAAAAAAAAAAAAG